UACGUAGGGGGCAAGCGUGUCCGGAAUCAUUGGGCGUAAGAGCGUGUAGGCGGCCCGGUAAGUCCGCUGUGAAAGUCCAGGGCUCAACCCUGGGAUGCCGGUGGAUACUGUCGGGCUCGAGUUCGGAAGAGGAGUGUGGAAUUCUUGGUGUAGCGGUGAAAUGCGCAGAUAUCAGGAGGAACACCAAUGGCGAAGGCAGCACUCUGGGACGUGACUGACGCUGAGACGCGAAAGCGUGGGUAGCAAACAGG
rnacentral:rRNA from 1 species